rnacentral:lncRNA from 1 species
AGUUUUGAAUUUCUGAAAAUUCAUAAGCUCACAAAGAAAAAAAGGUCAUCUUCAAGGAAGAACACUGCUCAUGGUCAACAAGGGAUCUGAUGGAGUGCUGAAGCGUCUUUGUUGAAUUUUAGCUUUGUGUCUUAUGUUCUUAUAUUGUAAAUCUACUCCUAAGUUAUAAAGGAUAGUAGAUCGGUUGUUUGUCUAAUUCUUUAGUUUGAGUCGUACUAACUAGAGUUAGUUAGUCGAAUCAUCUAUGUUUUAGUCAAAUGUUUUUAUAUCAUUAUUUUGAUGUUCUCUUGGGUAGAGUUGCCUAAGAGUGUCAACUAGAGUUAGUUGAUGUGUGGGCGCAACAGAGUUGCUGCUUGUUUAGCUCUUACCGUCAAGAUCUGAGUUGGUGGCUAGAGUUAGCUGAACUCGCAGCCUAGCCAUAAUGGAAUGUGUGUGUAUGACUCCAGCAACUGCUUCCUCCUGUGCGACUAUUCGAUGGUCGAUUUCCUGAAAGAUUUCAACCAGUUCAUUAUAGAAAGUAGACAAAGGUCUACCAUUCUGUUUCG